rnacentral:rRNA from 1 species
AUAUCACUAAGCGGAGGAAAAGAAAUUAACGAAGAUUGCCUCAGUAGCGGCGAGCGAAGUGGCAAAAGCUCAAUUCGAAUCUGUGGCCCACGGCCAUUGAAUUGUAAUCUAAAGGGGUUAACAAAAGGGGAAGUUGAGGUAUAAGUUGCUUGGAACAGCACGCCAAAGAGGGUGACAGCCCCGUAUUCGACCUCGAUUGAACCGAAUGUUGGCUUCAAAGAGUCGGGUUGUUUGGGAUUGCAGCCCUAAAUGGGAGAUAAACUUCUUCUAAGGCUAAAUAUUGAUGGGAAACCGAUAGCGAACAAGUACUGUGAAGGAAAGAUGAAAAGAACUUUGAAAAGAGGGUUAAAAGACUUGAAAUCGUUGAGAAGGAAGUGGUAGAAGUGGAUUACUUGGCUGUGAAGCAAGCAACGUGUGAAAGCCUAAGUGGGUAAGGUACCUCCAAAGGCCGAACUACUUAGCGUGUAAACUUGUUGUGAUUUCACAGCUAAAAGGCAGGACUGUGUUCAGGACUUCGGAAUCAGUAUGGGAGGAGGCCGUAGCAAUACUGACCUCCCAUACAAAACGGAGUAAGAGCACACUCUUGCCAAAACGGCUUCUACUGA